CUUUUCCUGGGCUGUACAGAGACUCGUUACCAUUUUAUCCUCUACAGUCCUUUCUGUUUACUUAGUUCUACAACUGCCUCAUCUCACUGUGUUCUUGUAGUAUAACUGUGGGGCUCUUCCCCUUUUAGUUAAGAAAGAAGCAAGACCUGGAGAGAAUAACAUGCUCAAUUAUGGAGCCAGGACUUUACAUAGCUCCCUCUGCUGUUUUCUGGAAGCUCUGAGAAGGCGGUGCCUACAGUUCACAACUCCAAAAGCACCCAACACAUUGUUAUCACAAUAAUUUAUAGCCAGGAUGCCUCUUCCACCUGAGAGUGAGCUGCCUGAGCCCUCAGGUUUAUGUCUCCAGCCCCGAACACAAUUCCAGGCACAAAGGAAGUUCUCAAUAAAUACUUGUGAAAUGAAAAAAAAAAAAAAA
rnacentral:lncRNA from 1 species